UCAGAACCAGGUGGUUUCAGUGGUAGCCAGCACAAUACAGCUUCAGCUCCAGCCUCAAAUGCCACACCUUCGCCUCCAGCCCCAAAUACCACACCUUCGGCUAUGCCAGAUGCCAUGGUUGUAGUCCAUGGCUCCCAGCAAAGUGCAACUAAUGGGACAAAAAGAAAUAAUGAAGUAGCCUCAGCAACCAUUUCUGUGUCAACAAAAAGACAGAAGUAUUCUUCUGGAAACAACACUGCACGUGUGACCAAGGUAUCCUUCCCUAUUUCAUUCCUUUUUGACUAACAUAAGCUGGGUUGCAGCACUCACAUAUUGCUUAUUUUUGUACCAGGAAAAAGUUGUGAAAACAACAGCAACUGCAAGGAUAAAAACAUUGCAAGGUGGUUCUGGAACAUUGAGCCUAGAGGCUAACGUACCCACAUCUCAAGCAAGUUCCAAAGUGAUAGUGCAGGUGACAUCUGGGCAUGCCAGUGCUGAAGUGAUGGCUCAAGAACCAGGAAGAAAGAAACUUACACCAAGAAGGGCAAGGCCUCUUCCACGACUGUUGUUAUCACCUGACAAGUGAAAACCUAUAUCCUCUAAGAAGACAAUGUCUAUUUGUGAUGUAUUUUCUGCCAAACUUAUGGCAUUUGUGAUGUAUUUUCUGCCAAACUUAUGGUCUAUGUUCAUCUGUUAGCUCAUGUUACCUGCCAAACUUAUGGCAUUUGUGAUGUUAUUUUGUGCCAAACUUAUGGCCUAUGUUCAUCUGUUA